CGCAUCUGUGCAUGCAGCAUAUCAAUAAGCGGAGGAAAAGAAACUAACAAGGAUUCCCCUAGUAACGGCGAGUGAAGCGGGAAGAGCUCAAAUUUGAAAUCUUAAAGGGUUUCCCUUUACGAAUUGUAGUUUAAAGAAGUGUUUUCUGUUGAGGUUUUGGUAAAAGUUCUUUGGAAUAGGACAUCAUAGAGGGUGAGAAUCCCGUAUUUGACCUUUACUUUCAACUUUGUGAUACACUUUCAAAGAGUCGGAUUGUUUGGGAACGCAGUCCAAAAUGGGUGGUAAAUUUCAUCUAAAGCUAAAUAUUGGCGAGAGACCGAUAGCGAACAAGUACCGUGAGGGAAAGAUGAAAAGAACUUUGAGAAGAGAGUUAAACAGUACGUGAAAUUGUCAAAAGGGAAGCGUUUGACACCAGUGUUGUUUUUCUGAAAAUCAAUUAAAGAACUGUUUAUGCUAAGUUGUUUAGACUUUAUCAGCUAACUGUUUAGUUUUGAGCUUUUCUUUAAUGCACUUUUCAGUUAACAAGUCAACAUCAAUUUCUUUUGCUGUAAAAAAGCUUGAGGAAGGUGGCUUGAGAUUCGUCUUAAGUGUUUAUAGCCUCUUGCCUAUGCAGUCGGAGAGAUUGAGGUCUGCAGCGUAGAUCCUUCGGGGCUAAAUGCAUUUGUGCUAAGUUAUAGCAUUUUCAUAGACAACUUGUUGACUAUGAUUUGUCUUGUAGCUUACUCGCUUAUGUUAUUUUACCUACGCUUAGGAUGUUGACAGCAGUAUAGACUGU
rnacentral:rRNA from 1 species